CGGUUGGCUCUUGAAGACCGAAGAUUAAUUUCCCCCCUGUUGCGCCAACUUUUGUCUGUUGGAAUGAGGAGUAACUGCUGGGUUUAACCCCCAGCACUUGCUGAGACUGAUCGGCUCCAGUAACUUCCAAGCAAAUCACAGAAGCACG